UCCCCGCCCCACCCGGCUGUCACCGCCUCUUCUCUGUUGUCACCCACCGAGAAAAGGAUGAGGCAGCGCAGGCGCCGCUGACACUGCCGAGCAAAGGAGUUCUGCAGUGGCUUUUUGUGGCUACCAUAGCAGUGGCUGUGACUGGAGACUCCUGGAAAUGGCGGCAUGAAGAGGCCCCACGUAGGUGCGCCUGCGUGGCCGGAGCAGCCUGCACCUGCGCCUGGAACAAAUCGUCCCCGGUGCCAGAUGGGGCCGGUACCCACCCCAAACGCGCAUUGACAUGCACCUGUCCAAGGGGAUCGCAGGACACCUCUCAGUAACAUCUUCUGAUGGCCUUUUUGAAAGAGAAAUUUCAGUGCGAUUUUCCAGAUGUGGUAUACUGAGUGUUUAAGAGGGAACUGCCCAGAUGGAGUCUCACUUUUGUCACCUUGUAGAGAGCCGUGGCAUCAUAGCUCACAGCAACCUCAAACUCUUGGGCUCAAGCAAUCCUCUUGCCUCAGCCUCCAGAGUAGGUGGAACUACAAGUGCCUGCCACAACGCCUGGGUAAUUUUUCUAUUUUUAGUAGAGACAGGGUCUUGCUGUUGCUCAGACUGGUUUCUAAUUCCUGAGCUCAGGCAAUCUACCUGCCUUAGCUUCCCAGCGGGCUAGGAUGACAAGCAAAACCACUACACCCAGAUUGUAUUUUUGUAUUAACUGGGUACAACUGCUUUUCUUUAACUGCUAAUGAAAUAAUGAAAUUAAUUUAUUUUGGAGGACCUUUCAGCUACCCCUUCCUUCAAACUACUCUGUCUAAAACUUUUCUCUUGAUCAAUUAUCAAAAUGGAAUGUGAUUUAAAUGUUUCCUUUUCGAAGUCUCUUAAAAGCUGAGCAUUUAGUAUCUUAAAGCUUCUCAUCAGUUUGAAUGAAUAUGGAUCUUUUUAAAUUAAUAAGCUCCUUAAUAUUAAAACCUUCUUUACCAAUUUAGGAAGACUAUAAUAACUAAAGUUUGGGGAACAAUAAAUAAAAUUAAUCAUAUAUACUAAAUGAGUUUUCACAGGAUUAUGGCAUUUUACAUAUGGUAGUAAUUUUAAGAAUGAUCUGGCCCAGAGUUUCCUAAAAUUUGUUCCAUGAAAUUAAAAUCCCAUGACAUACUUUAUUAUUGUUUUAGAGACAGGGUCUGGUUCUGCCACCCAGGCUGAAGUACAGAGGCAAAAUCAUAGCUUACUAUAGCCUUGAACUCCUAGGCUUUCGGCUCUAGGGAUCCUUCUGCCUCAGCCUCUCCAGUAGCUGGAACUAUAAGCAUGUGUACCACACCCAGCCUAUGGCAUACUUCAGAAAAAAGGGGUUCUAGUGGUCCACAAUGGCUGCAAACCUUCUCCUUUCCCUGCCACUCACACAAUCCAUAUUUAAACAUUAUAAAGACUAUAAAAUCUGUCAGUUAAGCCUGUAAUUUUAACCUGUUACAAAUGUAAUUCUCCCCUAGCCCCAUCUGUAAAUAUGUCUCAGAACACACAAGAGGCAGUGACUUAGCCCUCUGUAUUCACCUGACAGCCAUAAUUUACAUGAGGGUUUUUCACUUAAUGAACAAAAAAUGACUUUCCAUGAUAAUCUCAUGUUUAAAAUGCCAUCUAAUAUUUUACCUUGUUGUCUUCAUUAAAAUUCAAAAAGUAAAUUUUUUUUUUUUUUUUUUUUUUAGCAUUCCAACACUGUAUAUAUAUGUAUCAUUUUAAUUCAUCUGCACUCUAGAAAACUUGGCCUUCCUGUAAACUUUUAUGGCUUAAAGGUAAAGUAUUUUAUGGAAGUUUAGUGCUUAUCUGUUUAUUAUUGCUGAGAUAUAGUAUAGUCACCAUUGCCCCUACUUUUAGUGUUUAAAAACACUAUAAAGUCUAGAGUCAUCUCUCAAUAACCACACUGGUACUAUAGCCUAGCUAUAUGUUUUUUACUUCUCAGAUACUGCCUGAACCCCACAGAACUGUGCAAAAUUUAAGAUCUUUAUAAAACUAAAUAUGAAGAAUUCAAAUUGUAUUUAAAAGUAGUUAUAAACUAACUCUUCUAUAAUAAAGAGAACUUCUAUUAAUUAGUAAUUUAAGCCAGGUUUAGAAGUUGUUUUUCUUUAACCAAAUUUUUACUUUUUAUUUAUAUAUAAAAUAAAAAUAUUUAUUUUUCUUUAAAUUAACCAAAAAUAAGAACAAUCACAGCAUACAGAUAUUUUCUAAUGUCAAAAUUAAGAAAGAGUAUAGUGGACUCUUGAAAAACACAGGUGUGUGUAUUGCAUGUGUUCACUUAUAUUCUGAUUGUGUUUAGCUUCUGCCACCUCUGAGACAGCAAGACCAACAUUUCUUCUUCUUCCUCCUCAGACUACUCAAAGUGAAGAUGACAAGGAAAUGUCAGAAGACACUCAAAAAAGGUGCAUUCUGGUAUUCCAUGAUCUGUGAAAGCCUGGUUCCAUGAGUUAUGGAACAUCCUCAUAAUGAAGUGCUAUGUAGCAUUAAAAUGACAGCAUACAAAUGUCUACUGAAAAGGAAAGAU